rnacentral:lncRNA from 1 species
UAAGAGCCCGGAUGAAGUCUACUUGCAGUCAGAGUCGGGGAUGAAGUCCGGCUCCCGUAGGAGUCCGGAUGAAGUCUUCCUACAGUCGGAGUUGGGGACGAAGUCUGGCUCCCGUAGGAGUCCGGAUGAAGUCUUCCUGCAGUUGGAGUCGGGAAUGAGGUCUGGCUCCCGUAGGAGUCCGGACGAAGUAUUCCUGCAGUU